GUGGGGAAUAUUGGGCAAUGGGCGCAAGCCUGACCCAGCAACGCCGCGUGAAGGAAGAAGGCUUUCGGGUUGUAAACUUCUUUUACCAGGGACGAAACAAAUGACGGUACCUGGUGAAUAAGCCACGGCUAACUACGUGCCAGCAGCCGCGGUAAUACGUAGGUGGCGAGCGUUAUCCGUAUUUAUUGGGUGGAAAGGGCGUGUAGGCGGGACAGCAAGUCAGAUGUGAAAACCAGAGGCUCAACCUCUGGCCUGCAUUUGAAACUGUUGGUCUUGAGUGUCGGAGAGGUAAUCGGAAUUCCGUGUGUAGCGGUGAAAUGCGUAGAUAUACGGAGGAACACCAGUGGCGAAGGCGGAUUACUGGGCGAUAGCUGACGCUGAGGCGCGAAAGCGUGGGGAGCAAACAGGAUUAGAAACCCGGGUAGUCC
rnacentral:rRNA from 1 species